rnacentral:lncRNA from 1 species
GGCUGACCUAGAACUCUUGGACUCCUGCUACCAUCCUGCUGCAACUUCCUGAGUAACUGGGACUACAGGUGUGUGCUCACCUCAGCUUUUCUCUCUGACGUGCAAGUUCUAUCUCCAGCCCGACAGCAUGGAACCACAGGUUACUCUAAAUGUGACUUUUAAAAAUGAAACUCAAAGCUUUCUGGUUUCGGAUCCAGAAAAUACAACUUGGGCUGAUGUUGAAGCUAUGGUAAAAGUUUCAUUUGAUCUGAAUACUAUCCAAAUAAAAUACCUGGAUGAGGAAAAUGAGGAGAUAUCCAUCAAUAGUCAAGGAGAAUAUGAAGAAGCACUUAGAUGGCUAACAUUAAGCAAGGAAAUCAACUACAGAUGCAAGUCCACGAAGGGUGCCAUGUUGUAGAUGAAGUGCUCCCCCAAACUGUAGUAGAAAAACAAGCAACUGCCAGGACAGGGAAGAAGCCACUCGCACAUUACUCUUCGCUGGUAAGAGUCUUGGGAUCAGAUAUGAAGACCACAGAGGAGCCUACAGCAGAGGCACGUUCACCUGUUCCUUGUGACACCGACAAGCCUCAAGACAAGCCCCCAGACUGGUUUACAAGCUACCUGGAGAUGUUCAGAGAACAAGUGGUGAAGGAAACGGUGGAGAAGCUUGAACAGAGGUUGCAGGAGAAGCUUGUCCUCCAGA